rnacentral:ncRNA from 2 species
GGCAGUCUCUUUGGCUAUC